GAUGAAGAACGUAGCGAAAUGCGAUAAGUAAUGUGAAUUGCAGAAUUCAGUGAAUCAUCGAAUCUUUGAACGCACCUUGCACCCUUUGGCAUUCUGAAGGGUAUGCUCGUUUGAGUGUCAUUGUACUCUCACUCUCCCGAUGCUUUUGGAUCGGGAGUGGUGGACUUGGGUGUUGCUGCUUUGCUGUGGCUCGCCUCAAAUGGAGUAGUGCAACUCUUGGUUGGACAUAGUACGGCGUGAUAAGUGUCUUCGCCGGCGCCUCAUUAUAGAGGGUGGCCGAUCGGGAGCUCUGUGCUUCAAACCGUCUUCGGACAACAUCUGACAACUUGACCUCAAAUCGAGUAGGACUACCCGCUGAACUUAAGCAUAUCAAUAAGCGGAGGA
rnacentral:misc_RNA from 1 species